rnacentral:tRNA from 1 species
GUAGGUUUAGUUUAAUAAAGACAUUAGAUCGUGACUCUAAUAAUAGGAGUUAAAAUCCCCUAACUUACC